rnacentral:rRNA from 1 species
GCAGGCGCGCAAAUUACCCAAUCCCGACACGGGGAGGUAGUGACAAUAAAUACUGAUACAGGGCUCUUUUGGGUCUUGUAAUUGGAAUGAGUACAAUUUAAAUCCCUUAACGAGGAACAAUUGGAGGGCAAGUCUGGUGCCAGCAGCCGCGGUAAUUCCAGCUCCAAUAGCGUAUAUUAAAGUUGUUGUGGUUAAAAAGCUCGUAGUUGAACCUUGGGCCUGGCUGGCCGGUCCGCCUCACCGCGUGUACUGGUCCGGCCGGGCCUUUCCCUCUGUGGAACCCCAUGCCCUUCACUGGGUGUGGCGGGGAAACAGGACUUUUACUUUGAAAAAAUUAGAGUGCUCCAGGCAGGCCUAUGCUCGAAUACAUUAGCAUGGAAUAAUAGAAUAGGACGUGUGGUUCUAUUUUGUUGGUUUCUAGGACCGCCGUAAUGAUUAAUAGGGACAGUCGGGGGCAUCAGUAUUCAAUUGUCAGAGGUGAAAUUCUUGGAUUUAUUGAAGACUAACUACUGCGAAAGCAUUUGCCAAGGAUGUUUUCAUUAAUCAGGAACGAAAGUUAGGGGAUCGAAGACGAUCAGAUACCGUCGUAGUCUUAACCAUAAACUAUGCCGACUAGGGAUCGGACGAUGUUAUUUUUUGACUCGUUCGGCACCUUACGAGAAAUCA